GCAGUGAUAGUUCACUGGUAGAAUUCCCACCUUCCAUGCAGGAGACCCAGGUUCAAUUCCUGGCCAAUACC
rnacentral:tRNA from 1 species